AAUGCACCUUGCGCUCCUUGGUAUUCCGAGGAGCACGCCUGUUUGAGAGUCAUAAAUAUCUCAACUUACAAAGCCUCUUGUGUGUUGUUUUGUAAGCUUGGACUUGGAGGUUAUUGUUGGUUUCUUUUUGUUGGAAAUCAACUCCUCUUAAAAGCAUUAGCUUGGGUUCUUUAACUGAUCAGCUUUUGGUAUGAUAAAUUGUCUAUGCCAUAUAACUGUGAAGUGUGUUUUGUUGAACCAGCUUCCAAUGAGUCUAUCAUUUUAUAUGAGGACAUGGGUUGAAUGUUUGACCUCAAAUCAGGUGGGACUACCCGCUGAACUUAA
rnacentral:misc_RNA from 1 species